CCUACGGGGGGCAGCAGUGAGGAAUAUUGGUCAAUGGGCGCGAGCCUGAACCAGCCAAGUAGCGUGAAGGAUGACUGUCCUAAGGGUUGUAAACUUCUUUUAUAAAGGAAUAAAGUGAGGCACGUGUGCCUUUUUGUAUGUACUUUAUGAAUAAGCAUCGGCUAACUCCGUGCCAGCAGCCGCGGUAAUACGGAGGAUCCGAGCGUUAUCCGGAUUUAUUGGGUUUUAAGGGAGCGUAGGUGGGUUGUUAAGUCAGGUGUGAAAGGUCGCGGCUCAACCGUAAAAUUGCAAUUGAUACUGGCAGUCUUGAGGAGAGUUGAGGUAGGCGGAAUUCGUGGUGUAGCGGUGAAAUGCUUAGAUAUCACGAAGAACUCCGAUUGCGAAGGCAGCUUACU
rnacentral:rRNA from 1 species